GAUGAACGCUGGCGGCGUGCCUAAUACAUGCAAGUCGAGCGAACGGACGAGAAGCUUGCUUCUCUGAUGUUAGCGGCGGACGGGUGAGUAACACGUGGAUAACCUACCUAUAAGACUGGGAUAACUUCGGGAAACCGGAGCUAAUACCGGAUAAUAUUUUGAACCGCAUGGUUCAAAAGUGAAAGACGGUCUUGCUGUCACUUAUAGAUGGAUCCGCGCUGCAUUAGCUAGUUGGUAAGGUAACGGCUUACCAAGGCAACGAUGCAUAGCCGACCUGAGAGGGGGAUCCGCCCCACUGGAACUGAGACACGGUCCAGCCCCCUACGGGAGGCAGCAGGAGGGAAUCUUCCGAAAGGGGCGAAAGCCUGACGGAGCAACGCCGGGGGGGUGAUGAAGGUCUUCGGAUUGUAAAACUCUGUUAUUGGGGAAAAACAUUUGUGAAAGUAACGGUGCCCAUCUUGACGGUACUUAAUCAGAAAGCCACGGCUAACUCCUG
rnacentral:rRNA from 1 species